GUGGGGAAUCUUCCGCAAUGGACGAAAGUCUGACGGAGCGACGCCGCGUGAGUGAAGAAGGCCUUCGGGUCGUAAAGCUCUGUCAUCAGGGACGAACGGCCGGUGGAGUGGAAAGCCACCGGAUUGACGGUACCUGAGAAGGAAGCCACGGCUAACUACGUGCCAGCAGCCGCGGUAAUACGUAGGUGGCAAGCGUUGUCCGGAAUUAUUGGGCGUAAAGCGCGCGCAGGUGGGAUCUUAAGUCCCUUUUGAAAGUUCGGAGCUCAACUCCGUGGGGGGGUGGAAACUGGGAUUCUUGAGUACCGGAGAGGAAAGCGGAAUUCCCCGUGUAGCGGUGAAAUGCGUAGAUAUGGGGAGGAACACCAGUGGCGAAGGCGGCUUUCUGGACGGUGUCUGACACUGAGGCGCGAAAGCUAGGGGAGCGAACGGGAUUAGAAACCCUAGUAGUCC
rnacentral:rRNA from 1 species